UCGACAUUGGAGACAAAGCACAUGUUCCCAUCAUCUCAUUUUCAGCCACACGACCUUCUCUCACUUCUCACCGCAGCCCUUUCUUCUUUCGUGUUGCCCAAGAUGAUUCCUCUCAAGUUAAAGCCAUCGGAGCCAUCGUCAAAACCUUCAAAUGGAGAAACGUCGUCCCCAUCUAUGUCGACAACGAGUUCGGCGAUGGCAUCAUCCCUUAUCUCAUCAACGCGCUCCAAGAAGUCAAUACUCACGUACCUUAUCAAAGCAUCAUUUCCCCGGAUGUAACCGACGAUCAUCUCACAAGUGAACUUUACAAAUUAAUGACAAUGCAGACGCGAGUGUUUGUGGUACACAUGUUACCUGACCUUGCCUCUCGUAUUUUCAUGAAAGCAAAACAAAUCGGAAUGAUGAAAAAAGAGUAUGUUUGGAUAAUAACGGAUAGUGUUACAAAUAUGUUGGAGUCAAUAAAGCCUUCAACUUUUGAGUCAAUGCAAGGAGUUAUUGGACUAAAAACUUACGUCCCUAGAACUGAAAAGCUUGAAUCUUUUGAACGUGAUUGGAGAAAGAGAUUUCUUAGGUAUUAUCCAAAAAUGGGAGACGCUCCUGCGCUGGACGUUUUUGCAUUAUGGGCCUAUGAUGCGGCCUGGGCCUUAGCCAUUGCAGUGGAAAAAGCUGGGACCGACAACCUUAAGUACAGCCAAACCAAUUUUACAACUUUGAACUAUUUAUACAACCUUGGUGCGAAUCAGAACGGUGAGAAGCUGCGUGUUGCGUUUUCGAAGGUUAAAUUCAAGGGUUUGGCGGGAGAAUUUAGUGUGAAAAAUGGGCAAUUGGAUUCGGAAAUUUUUGAGAUAGUGAAUGUGAUUGGGAAUGGGAGAAGGAAUGUGGGGUUUUGGUCGCCGGAAAGUGAGCUGAGGACGGAAUUGGAAAGAGGGAGAGAUGGGCUGAGAACGAUCAUAUGGGGCGGCGGGGAUUCGGGGGUUCCGCCCGAAGGGUGGGAGAUUCCAACGAAUGAGAAGAAGCUAAGGGUGGUGGUUCCGGUAAAGGAUGGAUUUUGGGAAUUUGUGAGUGUGGUUCGUGAUCCUGUGACCAAUGAAACGAAAGUGAGUGGUUAUUGUAUAGACGUGUUUAAGGCUGUGAUUGAAGCUUUGCCUUAUGCUGUUGCUUAUGAGCUUAUUCCUUUCCAUAAAUCUGCGGCGGAGUCAGGUGGCACCUACAAUGACUUGGUUGAUCAAAUCUAUUAUGGGGUUAGUAUUUUUUUUUGCCUAGUUAUGAUUUUAAAAGUUUAAAUUUAGUCAUUUGAUCAAGAUGUUCUCUCCAUGUAUAUGAUGGAAGUAGAGAGGCCUUUGUAAUUGAUGUUUUCUAUAUUCUUCUGCAUCCCUUAUGAGCUAGUUACGUCAUAUUUAUUAAUUUUAAGCUGCUUAUGAUUGUGAUCUCAAAAGUUGAGCAUGCUCGGUUUGUAGCGGAUCAUAUGUUGGGUGAAAUUACUUUAGUGAGGACAAAACAUGCUUGUUGGUUCGACGACAGUCUUUGUAAGUAGCUAAAUAUAAGCAUAGAUCGUGUAACUACGUAGCUGGAUGCAACGAAGGAAAUUUUGGCUAGAGUUUAGAAUGAAAAGAAAAUAUGAAGAAAUUUUUACUAUUUAGUGUUUUGGCAUUUUGCAUAGUUUACUUGCUUACUUACGUACAAGGUGUGUACUAGAGAUCAACCUCUAUUUAUAGGUGUUAAUAGAAAAGUCUAGAGAUACCUAGUUAAUGAGAGAAAUCCUUUCCAGAAAAUUUCAUAAUCCUAGAAUCUCCGCAUAUUUCCUAGUAGUCACAUUGAAGAACUCAAACGACUAAUAGGAAAUUACAAAUUACAUUUAAUAAUGAUAGUGGAUACUGGAAAAAACGAUGGGAUGCCAGGUGUUGGAUCUAAAUUUAUUUCGAGUCCUAAAUCUGGGCAUUACACAUUACAUUGACAUGUAUUAUUAGAAGUGGUUUUUCGCUUACUCCAUUUGGGAUUCAAGUCUUGAGCCUAGGGUGUGUUACUCUAACCUAUUCAAUUAGAUAUAGAAUAAUUAAUUCAAGUUUCGUUUCGUACCUACUCAGUAUGUCAAACGUUAAGUGAUCAUCCUCUUCUACAUUGAUCGAGAUCUAUAUCCUUAUUGAUUUCAAAAGCUGUUUUGUCUGUGAUUAGAAGUUUGAUGCUUUGGUGGGCGACUUGACAAUCCGAGCAAACAGGUCAAGAUAUAUUGACUACACAUUGCCAUUUGCUGAGUCAGGGGUGUCAAUGGUUGUGCCAAUAAUGAGUACCAAGAACACCAAUGCAUGGGUCUUCAUAAAGCCUCUAACAGGCCAUCUCUGGUCACUCACUGGCGGUUUCUUCCUUGUCAUGGCACUUGUUGUUUGGACUUUGGAACAUCGAGUCAAUGAAGAGUUUCGUGGAAGUCCAUUGGAUCAGGUCUUUACCAGUCUUUGGUACUCUUUCUCCACUAUGGUUUUUGCCCAUCGUAAGUACUAACAACCAUAACCGCACCAUUUUACGCAAAAACAAAAGCACAAUAACAGAGCACACUAUACAAAAAGUGCAAGUAAAAAAUCUUCAUUUAGAACUAGAAAAGUUAAAGAAGGGAAUUAAGAAAUCAGGUUUGAGGCACAAGCGAUGAGUGGGGCUUGGUUAAGCAAAUGUUGUGCCUUGGGAUUGAGUGUUAAAAACUUAGAAGUAAAUACAGCUCUAGUUAUUCUAUAAAUUUUUUGGAGUAUAUCUAAAUUAGUCUUUCUAGAAUUAUGUAGAAGGUAUAAACAAAUAUCUCAAUAAUGUAUGCAUAUACACAGAAAUAUCUAAGAUUUUGCCAUUACUAGGAGCGGGACCCCAAAUUCAAGGUAACAAAAAGGGAGUACCAAAUAUAUAUAGUAUGUAGGGAUGUUAAGUUACAUUUUGCAUUCCUUGUUUACACACUAAAGUAUAUCAUUUUGAAACAUUGAAACUGAAUUGUAAUCGAACUCAAAACUUAGACUUAAAAUUGUAAUGUUUUGAUAGUGACUAAAUAGAAACUAGAUCCAAAACAUAGGGGCCAAAAAUGUACUUUUCCUUUUUAUUUGGGCUCCAAGUUACUUUUGAAAUAGUGAGAAAAAGUGAGUAUUGAGAGUGAAAAAAGUGUUCUUAUUUGUACUUCUUUUUAACAAAAGUUUUCUUGAUUUAUAGGGGAGAUAACAUUGAACAAUUGGACGAGGUUUGUGAUGAUAGUAUGGCUAUUUGUGGUGUUGAUAAUCACACAAAGUUACACUGCUAGUUUGGCCUCAUAUUUGACGGUUCAAGAGUUCAAACCGGCUGUGACUGAUAUCAAUCAACUGCAGAAAAAUGGAGAAAAAAUUGGGCACAAAGUUGGUUCUUUUAUCCAUGAGAUUCUCAAGUCAUUGAAGUUUGAAGAUGACCAACUCAAAACUUACCGUACUACAGAAGAAAUGCACGAACUUUUAUCCAAAGGAAGCGCCAAUGGUGGAAUUUCUGCUGCCAUGGAUGAAAAUCCUUACAUCAAGUUGUUUCUCGCCAAGUACUGCUCACAAUAUACUACCACUGAACCCACUUUUAAAGCUGAUGGCUUUGGUUUUGUAAGUUUCUUUUCUUCCCCUCCAAACAAUACGAAUAAAUAGUUAUCGCUCUGUUUGGUAUUCCGAUUAACUUGAAAAGUUAAGCCUGUAAUUAUUGUCACCUUUCAUGUUUCAAGUCUUGAAAACUAAAAAGAGUAAGCUCUGUUUGAUAACGAUUUCUUAUUUAGUUUAAAACAUUUCUAGUAAAAUUGUUAAUCAAAUUUCAAAAGUAAAAGUUUUUUAAAACUACUUUUGAGGUUGUUGGUCUUUUUGGUCUAUAGGCUCUUCCUGAGAUACAACCCAACCACUAUAUCGCUUAAUUUAGCAGCUUUUAUGUAAUCUAUUUUCUUUGCCUCUUUGUUCCUCCUUUCUAUAGGGGGCUUUACUCUAGCCCUUGCCCUUCCUUUGUCUGUAAUUGAACUUUUGAGCUUCUCUCCAGUUCCAUUUUAACGGAUAUUUUUUUAUCGAAUGAAAUUUUUAGAGUUGGGAUAUGAUGAUGGUUCCAAAGAAAAUGAUCAAACAGAGCCUAAACUCAUGUAAGUUUGAACUUUUGCUAAUUCGAAACAAUUUUUUUCUCUUGCAGGGUUUCCCCAAAGGUUCGCCAUUAGUACCUGAUAUUUCAAGAGCGAUCUUGGAGGUGGCGGAAAGUGACAGAAUGAGAGAAAUUGAAAAUGCAUGGUUUAAAAAGGUGCAAGAAUGUUCGAUAUCGGAUGCUUCGAAGUUGUCGUCGACACGUCUGAGCAUUGGCAGCUUCUGGGCACUUUUUGUUAUCGUAGCAUGUGUGUCUGCAGUUUCUGUCAUCUGUUACAUCAUCAAAUUUCUGUACGAGCAGAAAGGCGUGUGGUUGAAUGAAAAUCGUUUGACGACUAGGGAAAGAUUGAGGGAGUUGGGUAAAAUAUUCAUGGAUAGAGAUGCAGGAGCUCACCCACUUAGAAGAAGGGUAUUCAUAAAUGGCGCUCCUGUUCAUCCACAACCUCUAUUUAUUCGAGAUAAUGAUCACCCUCGAGCAGAUUGAGUAAUACUAAUGGAUAUCUUCUUGGUGGGAUUUAGAUGGCACAUUUUAUUGUUUAUAUCAUGAUAUAUUUACUUUUGAUCUUGAUGGUAAACGUUUCAUCAUUUCUUUGUUUACCUUCAAAUUUGUUUGUAAUUUGUGUUUUUAUGUUGACGUUACACAGAGAAAGGGAAGAUUGGGUUAUUCUCCGGUAUUAAAUAUUUGAACUUGUCAAAUUUUGCUUUUCUGUCUUAUAAACAAUUGAAAAUGAUUUGAGUGUUAGAGAUUUGGCGUUUGCUAUAUAUUUUUAAAAUAUGUUGUGGUUGUCCGAUAUAAGAUGUUUAUCAUCCUAUCCCAUGUUGUGUCCUACAAGUGUGUUUUGAUGAGUUUAGGAUUACAACUUUGAAGGCACUUUUGAGCAGUAGGGUCAUGAAUGUUCAAAAAGAAAAAUAUUUGUGGUGUCAAUCUUUGCAGUGAUUUUUGGUGUCAAUCUGUCACUUUAAGAAGCUUCUGCUUCCGUGGUUCUCUAUAUUUUAGUGAAUCAUCUACUACAACUUAAAAACAAAUUCUCUGAGGGAAGCUUAAGUACUCGAACUGGAGCAGUCUUCAUUUGUAGGUAUUUCAUUGAGGAAAAGUCUUACACUUAGAGAGGAGCUUUAGUGAUCAUUCUCUAAGUCAGAUUAUAGUAUGACACUUAAAUUGCCAUGUAUAUUUACCAAUGAGCAUAACAUUAUAAAUCCUUUGACAACAUUUCUUUGACAUUAUAAGAUAGAUGUUAGGGAAUUAUCUUUUCUACCCAACUUUGUGUUUUGUCUUGCAAUAUUUCUGUAUGCGCUUUACUACGUCUUUACGCGUUACCUCGUGUGUAUAACACUUCUUUUAGUCCACAUCUAUCUUAUUAAGAUUGUUGGAUUUUUCUAAGGUAGAAUAAUCUCAGGAUGCUUCAUUCUUUGGAUAAGAAUUUGAAGGUGAAAACUAUUAUAAUUCCCUAAACCAAUAAUGAUAAUAUUGAUUAUUGAAUAGUCAAUUCCUCUGCAAAUCCAAAUGAGAUCAAAAGGGAUGAAAAUGGCUAGUAACAGCAUACCAAAAUUUGGUCUCACUUAAUAUAUUUUAGUAGGCUUUGACUUAAUUUUAAUUUAUUUGGUUAUUUGCAACUUGAGGAGCUAGACAUAAUCAACAAAGUCUUUGUUCGUUCUUAAUACAAGUCUUAACAUCAACAGUUAGUAGGACAUUUUGCUCAUGUAUGACACUGUUUAAUUUUAAAUUCAUAGUUUCUUAUAAAGUCAUGCAAGCAACCUCCCAUUCCAUCAUUAAAAUAACCUUUUUCUCCAUUAAUUUCUUUUAUCAAGAGUAUUCAAGCAAUUUCAUCUGAGAGUUCCACAAAACAGAGACUAAAACUAAAUGAUGAGGAGAAGAAAGGGUUGGAGAUGUAGUGAUUUUGGGACGUUGGGGGUUGUUCUUUUUCUUAACAUGUUACUAACGGCGGCGACCGUUGUAACGGUGCACGACCAGGAGGAGAAGGUGGUGGCCGGAGAAGUGAAAGUGAAGGUGGGUGUGGUUUUUGAUUUAGAUUCUAUUUUUGGGGAGAUGAGUUUGAGUUGUAUUUCAAUGGCUCUGGAGGAUUUAUACUCUUCUCGGAGUUAUUACAAGACUAGAGUUAUUCUCCACAGCAUUGACUCCAAUGACACUGUUGUUGAUGCAGCUGCUGCAGGUUCUAUCUCUAACUUCUCUUGAAUCAUAUCAUAAAAAAUGUAAUAAAACUCUUGUUUAGAAACUAACGACUCUCCCAUUAUUUAUACAAUGAUAUAAUAUUGUGUACUUUGUUGAACAUAAACCUUCAUGGUUUCACCUAAAAUAUUAUUUUGUAUCACUGUAGAUAGUUGUCCUAUCUUUAUCUUAAUUAUCUAGUAAAUUUAGAAUCUUUUUCGAACUCCAAAUAGACCAACAUGGAUCAAAUUUGAAGAUCAAAUUCAAACCUUUGUUACUACUCCAUGGUUAAGAUGUAAAGUCUAAUAGAAAGCGUAGAAUUCCAAUAAUGUAAUAUGAAUAUGAGUUAACAUUCGAUGCGAGUCCAAAGUUCCAAGAGAUUUGGUAGUAGUUAUUAUCUAUAGCAAUGAGACAUAUUUUCUCUUCUUAGUAGCUUAAUCACAGGAACUCUCACUGUAUUCUAAGCAUCCAUGUAUGAAAUAAAUGGGUUGUAUGCACUUUAUUGAAAUCAUAUUUUCUGUAUAUCCUCAUCUUUUUCUCAUCAACAAAAGAUUAGUCUAAACUGCUUGAUUUUCAACCCUCAGCUCUGGAAUUGAUAAAGAAAGAGGAAGUGCAAGCCAUUAUAGGUCCAACAAGCUCUAUGCAAGCCAACUUCAUCAUCAACAUUGGAGACAAAGCAGAAGUUCCCAUCAUCUCAUUUUCAGCCACACGACCUUCCCUCACUUCCCACCGCAGCUCUUUCUUCUUCCGAGCCGCUCAAAACGAUUCAUCUCAAGUCAAAGCCAUUGGAGCCAUUGUUAAGACCUUCAAAUGGCGACAAGUCGUCCCCAUCUAUAGCGACAAUGAGUUCGGCGAAGGU
rnacentral:lncRNA from 1 species